UUCUCGGUGGUCUAGGGGUAUGAUUCUCGCUUUGAGUGCGAGAGGUCCCGGGUUCAAAUCCCGGUCGAGCCCUUAAA